rnacentral:rRNA from 1 species
UCAGCAUCUGAGAUGAAGUAGGACCACCCGCUGAACUUAAGCAUAUCAUUAAGCGGAGGAAAAGAAACUAACAAGGAUUCCCCUAGUACGGGCGACGGAAGCGGGAAAAGCCCACACUGGUAAUCUCCGGGCGCCAGCUCGGCGAAUUGUAAUCUGAAGUCAGCUAGUCACAGAAUGGACCGGACGCCGAAGUGCUGCACGAGCGCGCCGCCAAAGAGGGUGAGAGCCCCGUAUGGUGUUGGGUCCUCCAC